GUUAGUACUUCACCAGUAGCUUAAACCGAUUUUAUUUAGCUCUGCUGUUUGCUCAUAUGCCGUUAUUCCUGGUGGCAGUUUUCCGAACUCUGCUGUCCACAGUGACCAUGCCUCUACAGAAGGAGAUUCUGAGAGAAGUCUGGACUGAGAAGACAAUUCAUGAUGAAACAUCACUGCUUGACGGACAGCACCAGCGUACAUCAAUAGAAGCCCAAGAAGAAGAAGGCGGAGUCUACUGUAGCAGAGACCAAUGGGACAGAAGCUAAACCGAAAAAAACUAAGAGUAAAAAAAAUGGAGAAUUGUCCACAGAGAACAGCCCGGCUGCUCAAAGUAAGACAGAGCUUUAAGCCCACAGUGUUUGUCUUUCAUGGUACCUUUGCAAUAAAUCUGCCUAAACUCUGAAGCACGAAAUCCUAACUUUGGCACAAAAUCACUGAAACAGAUGGCGAGAAGGUGAAGAAAAAGAAAACGGAGAAGGAGAAAGAAAAGGAAUCGCUGCCAAAAGAAAAAGCUGAACCCAAAAAGAAAGCCAAAAGUGCCCCAAAGAAGAAGAAGAGUGAGUUCAUUUACUGUCUCCCUUAUAAUAACAGUACAAACUUGUGCUACCUGCAAAAUAAAUCUCAC
ensembl:lncRNA